AGCGAACGCUGGCGGCAGGCUUAACACAUGCAAGUCGAGCGCCGUAGCAAUACGGAGCGGCAGACGGGAGAGUAACACGUGGGAACGUACCUUUCGGUUCGGAAUAACCCAGGGAAACUUGGGCUACUACCGGAUACGCCCGCAAGGGGAACGAGUUAUUGCCGAAAGUUCGGCCCGCGUCCGAUUAGCUAGUUGGUGAGGUAAUGGCUCACCAAGGCGACGAUCGGUAGCUGGUCUGAGAGGAUGAUCAGCCUCACUGGGACUGAGACACGGCCCAGACUCCUGCGGGAGGCAGCAGUGGGGAAUAUUGGACAAUGGGCGAAAGCCUGAUCCAGCCAGGCCGCGUGGGUGAUGAAGGCCUUAGGGUUGUAAAGCCCUUUCGGCGGGGAAGAUAAUGACGGUACCCGCAGAAGAAGCCCCGGCUAACUUCGUGCCAGCAGCCGCCGCGGUAA
rnacentral:rRNA from 1 species